UCCAAAAUCCGCCGCUCCAUGGAAACAAUUCUUGGUAUCUUUCUCCACUCCUAAGCAACUCAGAUCUACUGUCAGGCCCAUUCGCGCCAUGGCCGAGGAUGCCUCGGCCACUAAAGAAGCGGAGCCCGCUCCAGUGGGCUUCACUCCACCUCAACUAGACCCAAACACACCUUCACCAAUCUUCGGUGGUAGCACUGGCGGGCUCCUCCGUAAAGCUCAAGUUGAGGAAUUCUAUGUCAUAACAUGGGAAUCACCAAAGGAACAAAUCUUUGAAAUGCCAACUGGUGGUGCAGCUAUCAUGAGACAAGGUCCCAACUUGUUGAAAU
rnacentral:lncRNA from 1 species